rnacentral:rRNA from 1 species
CUGGAAUCGCUAGUAAUCGCGGAUCAGAAUGCCGCGGUGAAUACGUUCCCGGGUCUUGUACACACCGCCCGUCACACCAUGGGAGUCGGAAAUGCCCGAAGUCUGUGACCCAACCAUUAAGGAGGGAGCAGCCGAAGGCAGGUCGGAUGACUGGGGUGAAGUCGUAACAAGGUAAC